CGCCGCCGCGGGUCGACGCCGCCAUAGCGGCCAUGGAUGGAGUGGUGGCGACCAGGUGUGUGCAACCUCUGCGGUUCGGAGGCAGCGCCUCCCUUCUCUCCUCCUCCCUUCUCUCCUCUGCCUCUUCUAGCUGGUGGGGUGGAGCUUCAAGUAGAGGAAGACACUGGCGGCGGAUCCGUCGGUCUUCUAGGGAUGGAGGUUGGUGGAGGCCGUCGAGCCGGCGGCGGCAGGGAGGAUGGCCAAUCGGCUGCCUCCUUCCUCCUCCCCCAACCCGCGCCGCCUCGUCUCCUUCUCCCCAAUCCGCGCCGCCUCGUCUCCUCCUCCCCAGACGAGGAAGGAUGGCUACCUCGUUUUCAAAAAAAUACAGUAGUACUGUGUGGAAGCUAGGAACAGGAAAUAGACUGGGGAUUAGUUCUAUAUGAUUCGUUACUUCACUGCAAGAUCUUGGUCGUGAACACACACUAGGUGUACCAGCAAAGCAUAUUUUUUUUGUGGGAGUAUACUUCAAGGACAUCUUGAUUGUUAUUGUUUUGGAUACUCUUCCUGAUACAGGAAUGUUGCUUGCAACGAUGUCAUUUCCUGAGAUCUUACCUCUGAAGCUACAUUUGUCAAUUUAAUUUGCAGAUCUUACCUUGAAGCUACAUUUGGGCAUUUUUUUAUUUCAGUUCUGUAAGCUGGUGUUACUGUGAAUGCUAAUAUGAGCUCUAGAGCAGCUCCUUUAACGGGGCAGGUUACGAUUGCACUGCCACUUGAGCAUACAUAAAUCCUUGCAUAGCUUUUUAAUCUAUAGAUAAGAAUUCUCCUACUGCUUUUCUGACUCUACUUUAUAUGUAGCAGCGGCGGCAACAGCGACGCUGACAAUGAUUACACCCUCCAACAUGUGCAACGGCAGUGAUAUUGAAGAUAAUCGUCAGUCAGUUUCACCACUUAGAAACUACUAGGAUGCUCAGAUACUUCUGACGAUCCCAGGAAAAAUGAUACUUGAUGAGAUGAUCAAAAAACUUGGUUUUUCGCCACCGGCGAUGCAGGGUUUAUGAAGACCACGUGAUAUGUGGGACUCUUAUUUUUCAAACAUCAAAACUGCCCAGUCAAUGUUCCCUUGUCUCUAUGACUAUGAGUAAGGGUCCAUGGAUGUUUUCGUAGCAGAACAUUACACUGUUGUAGCAGCUAUUGGAUACAUGGAGAGUGUCAACUAAUACUGUAAUCAAAGAUUUAAACUAAAGCCAGUUAAACCAGAACAGAACAGAUAUUUCAAGAGUCAGCUCAGGAAGGCAGACCUUAAGGGUAUAAUAUAGAUGAUGAUUAAUUUGUAUUGGAAGAAUCUGGCAGAAGAAGAGAAGAAUAUGAUAGGACAUGUCUGUUUCUUUGAUCCCAUCAAUACAAUUAUGUUGCUUCAAACAGAAGUGGCUGCGAUGUAUCUCGACUAAUUAUCUUGUUGACGGGAGCCGGCACAGGGAGCCCUUGGGGUUGCGCAUCCUCCGCCUCCUCGUUACCUGCUCACUCUGGUGAGCAGCGCGAGGAGGGCCGUCCCAGGAACCCCGGAAGGAUGGCCAUGGCGUCUGCUCGAUGGAUGCUAAGGUUUGCCUUUUCUUCUCAGAAGGUGGAUCUGCCCGGCCAUGGACGUGAGCAGAGAAAACCAUAGCCGGCUCUUCCUCUCUGCCUCUCCGCUCACGAUGCUAGGUUUUUUUUACUAAUAGUCUCUUGCAACUUGUGUGAAUUUGGCAGUGGGCUGUUUCGACCUCCUGUUGGGUGAUGCCGCACUCACGCUCGAGAACCUCAGGUUCUUUAAUGUUAUGAUUGGCGCGGUUGUCUGGAUUUGGAAGUGGUGAACAAGAGAAAAGUUACUAUCUCACUUGAAGAAAAUGGAUAACUGCUGGUGUAUAUAUGUAAAAUUACUUACUGGUGGUCUUACUUUCAGAUCGCAAGUUUGUCCGAAUCAGACUGGAAAAGAAUUGCUUGGACAUUCUUGGGUAUUGUGGUCCUGUGAUUUUUUUUAAUAUGCUCAGACACUGUGAGUAGCUAAAUGGUAAAAGAGGAGUCCUAUUUUUGGUUCAGGUUUCUUGCCAAUAAUUAUCCUUUUGGCUGCAUCGUGUUCUUCCGGCAACUAUGUUAAUUGCUGCGAGGU